rnacentral:rRNA from 1 species
UACCGGCACCCCGAGUGGUCGGGACGUUUAUUGGGCCUAAAGCAUCCGUAGCCGGUUCUACAAGUCUUCCGUUAAAUCCACCUGCUUAACAGAUGGGCUGCGGAAGAUACUAUAGAGCUAGGGGGCGGGAGAGGCAAGCGGUACUCGAUGGGUAGGGGUAAAAUCCGUUGAUCCAUUGAAGACCACCAGUGGCGAAGGCGGCUUGCCAGAACGCGCUCGACGGUGAGGGAUGAAAGCUGGGGGAGCAAACCGG